rnacentral:rRNA from 1 species
GGAUGGGCGGAGCUACCAUGCAGUCGAGCGGAACGAUGGAAGCUUGCUUCCAGGCGUCGAGCGGCGGACGGGUGAGUAAUGCAUAGGAAUCUGCCCGAUAGUGGGGGAUAACCUGGGGAAACCCAGGCUAAUACCGCAUACGUCCUACGGGAGAAAGCAGGGGAUCUUCGGACCUUGCGCUAUCGGAUGAGCCUAUGUCGGAUUAGCUAGUUGGUGAGGUAACGGCUCACCAAGGCCGCGAUCCGUAGCUGGUCUGAGAGGAUGAUCAGCCACAUCGGGACUGAGACACGGCCCGAACUCCUACGGGAGGCAGCAGUGGGGAAUAUUGGACAAUGGGCGAAAGCCUGAUCCAGCCAUGCCGCGUGUGUGAAGAAGGCUUUCGGGUUGUAAAGCACUUUCAGUGGGGAAGAAAUCCUCGGGGCCAAUACCCUCGAGGGAGGACAUCACCCACAGAAGAAGCACCGGCUAACUCCGUGCCAGCAGCCGCGGUAAUACGGAGGGUGCGAGCGUUAAUCGGAAUUACUGGGCGUAAAGCGCGCGUAGGCGGCGUGAUAAGCCGGUUGUGAAAGCCCCGGGCUCAACCUGGGAACGGCAUCCGGAACUGUCAGGCUAGAGUGCAGGAGAGGAAGGUAGAAUUCCCGGUGUAGCGGUGAAAUGCGUAGAGAUCGGGAGGAAUACCAGUGGCGAAGGCGGCCUUCUGGACUGACACUGACGCUGAGGUGCGAAAGCGUGGGUAGCAAACAGGAUUAGAUACCCUGGUAGUCCACGCCGUAAACGAUGUCGACUAGCCGUUGGGGUCCUUGUGACCUUUGUGGCGCAGUUAACGCGAUAAGUCGACCGCCUGGGGAGUACGGCCGCAAGGUUAAAACUCAAAUGAAUUGACGGGGGCCCGCACAAGCGGUGGAGCAUGUGGUUUAAUUCGAUGCAACGCGAAGAACCUUACCUACUCUUGACAUCGUGCGAACUUUCCAGAGAUGGAUUGGUGCCUUCGGGAACGCACAGACAGGUGCUGCAUGGCCGUCGUCAGCUCGUGUUGUGAAAUGUUGGGUUAAGUCCCGUAACGAGCGCAACCCUUGUCCCUAUUUGCCAGCGAUUCGGUCGGGAACUCUAGGGAGACUGCCGGUGACAAACCGGAGGAAGGUGGGGACGACGUCAGGUCAUCAUGGCCCUUACGAGUAGGGCUACACACGUGCUACAAUGGCCGGUACAAAGGGUUGCGAAGCCGCGAGGUGGAGCUAAUCCCGAAAAGCCGGUCUCAGUCCGGAUCGGAGUCUGCAACUCGACUCCGUGAAGUCGGAAUCGCUAGUAAUCGUGAAUCAGAAUGUCACGGUGAAUACGUUCCCGGGCCUUGUACACACCGCCCGUCACACCAUGGGAGUGGACUGCACCAGAAGUGGUUAGCCUAACUUCGGAGGGCGAUCACCACGUUGUUACGC